GGACCAGACUCCUACGGGAGGCAGCAGUGAGGAAUAUUGGUCAAUGGACGGAAGUCUGAACCAGCCAUGCCGCGUGCAGGAAGACGGCUCUAUGAGUUGUAAACUGCUUUUGUACAAGGGUAAACCUGAAUACGUGUAUUCAGCUGAAAGUACUGUACGAAUAAGGAUCGGCUAACUCCGUGCCAGCAGCCGCGGUAAUACGGAGGAUCCAAGCGUUAUCCGGAUUUAUUGGGUUUAAAGGGUGCGUAGGCGGAUGGAUAAGUUAGAGGUGAAAUGUCCGAGCUUAACUCGGGAACUGCCUCUAAUACUGUUGAUCUAGAGAGUAGAUGCGGUAGGCGGAAUGUAUGGUGUAGCGGUGAAAUGCAUAGAUAUCACGCAGAACUCCGAUCGCGAAGGCAGCCUACCGGCGCGCAACUGACGCUCAUGCACGAAAGCGUGGGUAUCGAACAGGAUUAGAUACCCUUGUAA
rnacentral:rRNA from 1 species